CCCCAGACUCCUACGGGAGGCAGCAGUGGGGAAUAUUGCACAAUGGGGGAAACCCUGAUGCAGCAACGCCGCGUGAGUGAGGAAGUAUUUCGGUGUGUAAAGCCCUAUCGGCAGGGAAGAAGAAAUGACGGUACCUGAAUAAGAAGCACCGGCUAAAUACGUGCCAGCAGCCGCGGUAAUACGUAUGGGGCAAGCGUUAUCCGGAUUUACUGGGCGUAAAGGGAGCGCAGGCGGCGCGCCAAGUCUGAUGUGAAACCCCGGGGCUCAACCCCGGGCAUGCAUUGGAAACUGGCGGGCUGGAGUGCCGGAGAGGUAAGCGGAAUUCCUAGUGUAGCGGUGAAAUGCGUAGAUAUUAGGAGGAACACCAGUGGCGAAGGCGGCCUGCUGGACGGUAACUGACGCUGAGGCUCGAAAGCGUGGGGAGCAAACAGGAUUAGAUACCCCGGUAA
rnacentral:rRNA from 1 species